AGCCUGCGGAAAGGGGCGGUGACGGACCACUGUCAGUCUCAUACCUUAUAUGGAAAUUGGACUAUUACAUUCCGGAAAUGAAGGGGGCGCUAUUUUCACAGUCACUAGUAUAAAUACCUUAAAGAAGCGGGGUAAGAAGUUUGAGAGGUUUCACCACUGACAUUUGCCACGCGAUCCACAAUGCAAAAACCAGGAAGUCAGCAAAAGAUGCACGUAUCAAUUUGUAACACUGGGAUCGGAGCUAAAAUUGUUCCGUACUGCAUGAACAACAAGUACUACUGUCCCCUUUGCUCAUACAGUGCGGAUGAGUCUUACAAGGUUAAGAACCACAUUGCAAGAACUGCUGUGGUUCAACAUAACGAAUUCCAUAUCUUCAGAUGUGGCCUACCAUGUAGAGACACCACUCACUUCCAUUGUCCUUACUGUUUUUCCACCAUUGACAGAAGGGACAGGUUUGUUAAUCAUUUGGUUAAUCACAGAAUGACUUUUCACAUGGUGUCCAGCUGUGCAGCAGCCCAGCCACCUGUCCACCUACCAGCUACAGACAUCCAGGCUACACAGGCGCCUGUCCGUCCAGCAGCUACAGACAUCCAGGCUACACAGGCGCCUGUCCGUCCAGCAGCUACAGACAUCCAGGCUACACAGGCGCCUGUCCGCUCAGAAGAUAUGAUUACAUGUGAAAUGUGCAAUCUGCGCCUGAGAAAAAAGAAUCUUCGUAUUCAUUUGAAAAGAAAACACCAUGAAAAAGUGGAGCUGAUUUCACAAAAUCAUCAUUUAAG